rnacentral:misc_RNA from 1 species
UGGGGAGUGGGAGCAGCUUGAGG